rnacentral:rRNA from 1 species
CUUUCACAUGCAGUCGAACGGCAGCACGGGGGCAACCCUGGUGGCGAGUGGCGAACGGGUGAGUAAUACAUCGGAACGUGCCCGGUCGUGGGGGAUAACGUAGCGAAAGUUACGCUAAUACCGCAUACGAUCUGAGGAUGAAAGCGGGGGACCUUCGGGCCUCGCGCGAUCGGAGCGGCCGAUGUCAGAUUAGGUAGUUGGUGGGGUAAAGGCCUACCAAGCCGACGAUCUGUAGCUGGUCUGAGAGGACGACCAGCCACACUGGGACUGAGACACGGCCCAGACUCCUACGGGAGGCAGCAGUGGGGAAUUUUGGACAAUGGGCGCAAGCCUGAUCCAGCCAUUCCGCGUGCAGGACGAAGGCCUUCGGGUUGUAAACUGCUUUUGUACGGAACGAAAAGGCUCUGGCUAAUACCUGGGGCUCAUGACGGUACCGUAAGAAUAAGCACCGGCUAACUACGUGCCAGCAGCCGCGGUAAUACGUAGGGUGCAAGCGUUAAUCGGAAUUACUGGGCGUAAAGCGUGCGCAGGCGGUUAUGUAAGACAGAGGUGAAAUCCCCGGGCUCAACCUGGGAACUGCCUUUGUGACUGCACAGCUGGAGUACGGCAGAGGGGGAUGGAAUUCCGCGUGUAGCAGUGAAAUGCGUAGAUAUGCGGAGGAACACCGAUGGCGAAAGCAAUCCCCUGGGCCUGUACUGACGCUCAUGCACGAAAGCGUGGGGAGCAAACAGGAUUA